AUUGAACGCUGGCGGCAGGCCUAACACAUGCAAGUCGAACGAGUGGCGGACGUGUGAGUAAUGUCGGGGAAAUUGCCUGAAGGAGGGGGAUAACUACUGGAAACGGUAGUUAAUACCGCAUACCAUCAGAUGUGCCCAGAGUGUACUAGCUUGUUGGUGGGGUAAGGGCUCAACAAGGCGACGAUCCCUAGCUGGUCUGAGAGGAUGACCGGCCACAUUGGAACUGAGACACGGUCCAUACUCCUACGGGAGGCAGCAGUGGGGAAUAUUGCGCAAUGGGCGCAAGCCUGAUGCAGCCAUGCCGCGUGUAUUAAGAAGGCCUUCGGGUUGUAAAGUACUUUCAGCGGAGAAGCGGUACCUGCAUAAGAAGCACCGGCUAACUCCGUGCCAGCAGCCGCGGUAAUUC
rnacentral:rRNA from 1 species